CUUGGAUCAGCCAGUGCUCAUGUAAUUUAUGGGCAUCAGUUUCUGAAUUAAUAACAUUCUCCUAUUACAAGAAUGCACUUGUACACCUGUAGUCAGGGACUUAAGGCUGAUCUGUUCCUAUCGGUGGGACAAGUGUCUGUCCUUGGGUUCUCUGAUGAUCCAGAAUCUGUCUCAGGCUGAAAGUACAGAGGGCAUGAUGGACUGGGUGAUUUGCUCUGGAGAUCUGGUCAUUCAUGGUAGGGGAGCUACACGUACAGCAGUUUUAAAAUGUCCUUUCUCUGUGCAUUACACAGAUUAGUUUUUACAUUCUUUCUGGAGCUUCUUCCCAAGAGGAUGUGCUCUCUCUCCUAGCCGGAAUCAGUGGAACAGAUCAGUCCUCCAGCAGAACUGUUUCCAUGUGAUCCUACAGUGUAGGUGCUGCACAGCACAGUGAUGUGCACCCAGGUUUUACAGCCGUGAGAAGAUGAACUCAGUUCCCUCAGGACAUACAUGGUGUAAACACUACUUUCUGCCUUUUGACACUCUCUCAGUAUUUACUCACCUCCAGAAGCUCCACCUAGGACUGAAGUCAGAAUCACAUGGGAGGAUGAAGUUAUGUGUGAUAUUGUAGAUGAAAAUGCAUCUGGGAAGGAAAGUAAAUACUUCUACAUUUGCCCUGUCAUAUUUCCAUAGUGUCUCUUUUCCCUUGCAGCCUGUGCUCAGUACCAGGCUGAGCAGCUCUGGCAACUAAAUAAAUCUUGAAGAUUUUAGGGUUCUCAUCUCCCCAGCAAAUAUCUGACCUUUGGGUUGCCUAAAGAUGCCACGGAGGCAACACACCAGUAAGCAACUCCGUCCUCCAUCUGCCUCCAGCUCCUCUCUCCCUGUUCGGAUACCCCCCAUGGCUCAGAAACAAUAAACUUUCACUCUUUGUAAUGCAAAUGGCUUCAAAGGCUACUUUGUUGCCAUAAAACAAUUUGAACAAGCUUUCGAGCCUUUCAGGGUAUUCUUACCCUUCCAGCAGAACUCAGCUCCGGUUUCACAACUGCCUUGUCUUAUGCCAUUAAUGAGGGACAAACGGUCAAGGCAGGGUUGGGAGGGGGUACUGCUGCCUCGUUUAAAAGCAUGUCUGCUCUGUGCCUACAGCAGCUGAACAUGUAAUGACAGCGACAGAGGGCUGACAGCUACUGAGAGCAAGCUCCAGCUGGAUUUUCAUCGUUUUGAGCAGUGCUGUCCUGCCUUACUUUGGAGAUGAGUGGAUGUUUUAAGGCUUAAGCAAAAAGCCCUGCCUGAUCUUUACUUUUCCUAGACUCAGAGUCUUGGAGCUAUCUGUUAAAGGACCACUGCGAAGAUACAGUUCCAGACAAGCAUCCUCUGGACUUUGUCUAUCCACAGCUCCUGAUCUCAUACUCUGCUACUGAAUUUCAUGGCAAAACACCUCUGACAUCAGAAGAAAACGUUGGAUUUGGGAUGGAUAUGCACAGUGAACAGCUGAUAUUCGUGCACAACAAUAUGUUGACCUUAUGCUUCCAGACAAGCAAAAGAUGGAUAAAUAGGUUGGUCAGCUGCUUUUCAAGGAGCUAGUGUGACUGAUACAUAAUCAAUGAAGAAGUUAAUAACAAUAACUAUAAAAAUACUUGGAGAGAACUCAUGACAGUUAUAAAAGAAAAAUACACCAUUGCUUUUGUUUCAUUUGCUUCAGAAAUGAGUGCACAUGAAAUUCUCUUCCACUCUCCAUUAAACAACUGUUUGGUCUCCAAUCUUUGGAGUUAAUGAGCA